rnacentral:rRNA from 1 species
AAUACAGAGGUCCCAAGCGUUGUUCGGAUUUACUGGGCGUAUAGGGUGCGUAGGCGGUCGGGUAAGUCUGGUGUGAAAUCUCAGAGCUCAACUCUGAAACUGCAUUGGAUACUAUUCGGCUUGAGGUCUGGAGGGGGGACUGGAAUUCUCGGUGUAGCAGUGAAAUGCGUAGAUAUCGAGAGGAACACCAGUGGCGAAGGCGAGUCCCUAGACAGGUCCUGACGCUGAGGCACGAAAGCUAGGGGAGCAAACAG